rnacentral:rRNA from 1 species
UACGUAGGGUGCAAGCGUUAAUCGGAAUUACUGGGCGUAAAGCGUGCGCAGGCGGUUUCGUAAGUCUGUCGUGAAAGCCCCGGGCUCAACCUGGGAAUUGCGAUGGAGACUGCGAGGCUAGAGUGUGUCAGAGGGGGUAGAAUUCCACGUGUAGCAGUGAAAUGCGUAGAUAUGUGGAGGAACACCGAUGGCGAAGGCAGCCCCCUGGGAUAACACUGACGCUCAUGCACGAAAGCGUGGGGAGCAAACAGG